rnacentral:rRNA from 1 species
UUGAACGCUGGCGGCAGGCCUAACACAUGCAAGUCGAACGGUAACAGGAAACAGCUUGCUGUUUCGCUGACGAGUGGCGGACGGGUGAGUAAUGUCUGGGAAACUGCCUGAUGGAGGGGGAUAACUACUGGAAACGGUAGCUAAUACCGCAUAACGUCGCAAGACCAAAGAGGGGGACCUUCGGGCCUCUUGCCAUCGGAUGUGCCCAGAUGGGAUUAGCUUGUUGGUGGGGUAACGGCUCACCAAGGCGACGAUCCCUAGCUGGUCUGAGAGGAUGACCAGCCACACUGGAACUGAGACACGGUCCAGACUCCUACGGGAGGCAGCAGUGGGGAAUAUUGCACAAUGGGCGCAAGCCUGAUGCAGCCAUGCCGCGUGUAUGAAGAAGGCCUUCGGGUUGUAAAGUACUUUCAGCGGGGAGGAAGGGAGUAAAGUUAAUACCUUUGCUCAUUGACGUUACCCGCAGAAGAAGCACCGGCUAACUCCGUGCCAGCAGCCGCGGUAAUACGGAGGGUGCAAGCGUUAAUCGGAAUUACUGGGCGUAAAGCGCACGCAGGCGGUUUGUUAAGUCAGAUGUGAAAUCCCCGGGCUCAACCUGGGAACUGCAUCUGAUACUGGCAAGCUUGAGUCUCGUAGAGGGGGGUAGAAUUCCAGGUGUAGCGGUGAAAUGCGUAGAUAUUAGGAGGAACACCAGUGGCGAAGGCGGCUUACUGGACGAUUACUGACGCUGAGGCUCGAAAGCGUGGGGAGCAAACAGGAUUAGAUACCCUGGUAGUCCACGCCGUAAACGAUGUCGACUUGGAGGUUGUGCCCUUGAGGCGUGGCUUCCGGAGCUAACGCGUUAAGUCGACCGCCUGGGGAGUACGGCCGCAAGGUUAAAACUCAAAUGAAUUGACGGGGGCCCGCACAAGCGGUGGAGCAUGUGGUUUAAUUCGAUGCAACGCGAAGAACCUUACCUGGUCUUGACAUCCACGGAAGUUUUCAGAGAUGAGAAUGUGCCUUCGGGAACCGUGAGACAGGUGCUGCAUGGCUGUCGUCAGCUCGUGUUGUGAAAUGUUGGGUUAAGUCCCGCAACGAGCGCAACCCUUAUCCUUUGUUGCCAGCGGUCCGGCCGGGAACUCAAAGGAGACUGCCAGUGAUAAACUGGAGGAAGGUGGGGAUGACGUCAAGUCAUUAUGGCCCUUACGACCAGGGCUACACACGUGCUACAAUGGCGCAUACAAAGAGAAGCGACCUCGCGAGAGCAAGCGGACCUCAUAAAGUGCGUCGUAGUCCGGAUUGGAGUCUGCAACUCGACUCCAUGAAGUCGGAAUCGCUAGUAAUCGUGGAUCAGAAUGCCACGGUGAAUACGUUCCCGGGCCUUGUACACACCGCCCGUCACACCAUGGGAGUGGGUUGCAAAAGAAGUAGGUAGCUUAACCUUCGGGAGGGCGCUUACCACUUUGUGAUUCAUGACUGGGGUG